UACGUAGGGGGCAAGCGUUGUCCGGAUUUAUUGGGCGUAAAGAGCGUGUAGGCGGUUUGGUAGGUCCGCUGUGAAAACUCGAGGCUCAACCUCGAGACGCCGGUGGAAACCAUCAGACUAGAGUCCGGAAGAGGAGAGCGGAAUUCCUGGUGUAGCGGUGAAAUGCGCAGAUAUCGGGAGGAACACCGGUGGCGAAGGCGGUUCUCUGGGCCUGUACUGACGCUGAGGAGCGAAAGCGUGGGGAGCGAACAGG
rnacentral:rRNA from 1 species